GCCUUUAUGAGCAAAGGGGCGUAAAGGGUGUGUAGGCCGACCGCCCCACCCCCCCCCAAGGUGGUAAAUGGAAUUUUUCUGUAGCGGUAGAAUGUGCGGAUAGAAAAUAGAACCCCAAAAGCUGAAGCAAUUUACCGCGGGGCGGGAGGGGGGGCCCCCUGGGGCGCCCCCCCGGGCUACGGGCUGAAACACGAGGGUGUGGGGAACAAACAGGAUUAGAGACCCUGGUAGUCCACACUGUAAACGAUGGAGAAAAUGCGAAUGCAGCCCCGAAAGGCAGCAAUCUCCCGCCUGAGUAGUACGAUCGCAAGAUUAAAAUUCCAAAAAUUUGGCUGUUCACCGUUUCGAUUAGAGGAGCGUGUAGUUUAAUUCGAUAAACCGCGAGAUACCUUACCCAAACUUGAAUCCUUGAGGAUUCCAAGGAAUCCUUAUGGACCGGUAUUGCAUGGCCGUCGUCAGUUCGUGUAUGAAACCUUAAACGGACCCAACCCGAGGAUUAGCCGCGGAUGAAGUCAGGUCUUAUGGUCCCAAUGUUUGGGGAUAAUAUGCGCUACAUUUUCUUAUACAAUGGGAAACCUGGGAGGUGAAACCCAAAAGUGAGAGUUCGGUAGGCUAUUGGAAGAUGGCCGAAAGUUGAAUUUAAUAGUAAUCGGAAAGUAUAGCGUUCCGGUGAAAUGAUCU
rnacentral:rRNA from 1 species